GGCUGACAGAGGUACAUUGGCUUCCCCAAAUCAGCCAGCCGAUGGAAAUGGAUGUUUUUUCAAACUUGGUACUUCGCUAGGAUUUCAAAAUGGCGGCUGACAGAGGUACAUUGGCUUCCCCAAAUCAGCCAGCCGAUGGAAAUGGAUGUUUUUUCAAACUUGGUUCUUCGCUAGGAUUUCAAAAUGGCGGCUGACAGAGGCUGUUUACAGCCAUUUGCAUAUGAAGAAAACCCUGUAGCUUGAGGGUCUCUUUUUUCUUGGAACAUUUUGCCCUUCUUUUAAGCCCCACCUACACUGUUUGCUAGUGUAGAUGGAGCAAAUUGGAUAAUUUUUAUGUGGCAACUAUAUUUGCUCAAAAGCUAGCAGGUUUGCUUUUUCUCGGCAAUUAAAAAUUGUCACACAUGAGAAAUUGCUAGUGUAUAUACCAACAAAUAAAGUUGUCAACUAAAUUUUUUUAGUAUAGAUGGGGCUUGAGGGUUAUAUGAAUGUUUAAUUUAUAACAAUUGUGAAUAUGGCUAUAUUAGAUCUUUUCUAUCGUAAGCAUAAAAAAAGGCGGCUGUGUGAAAUUCUUUAAGCGUCUUCACAUCUGUCACUGUAGGAAGAUCAGCAGAAAGGUGAUCAGGGGAAAGACUAUUCUGUUGAAUGCAAAGUCUACCUGAAGGAUGAACAUGAUGAGGUGUUUGCUCCCCCCUUAGAAUACACAAUAAAGAGCGAGAAUCGGGGGGAUGCGGUCACUGGACACUACUUGACUUACAGUGCAGGUGUACUGUCGGCGACUGGUAACCGAUGUGAUGAAAAUGCACGAUUCAGGUUCCGCAGUGCUUUGUUCACUGUAAACUCCAUUAUACGAACUGUCAGCAUUAUCGAGUCAGCAGGGAACCCUGGCAAGGUUAUAGCAAUCAAAAACAACCGCGUCAUUAUGAAGACUCCCUCAGUGCCCAUGGACAAGGUGUACAGCGUCCGGGCCACGCUCAAGUCGGACCCAGAAAUCCUGUUCAUCCAUCAUCCGCUUUCAAGAGGCAGUGAGCGUUGCUUUCUUCAGUUACUAAGCAACCACGACAUUACCCCGAAGUACCUUGGAUUCGACGAAAAGGGAGCCGGCGUGGUGCUGAGUACCGCGAGUAAAGACAAAUCGGAAGCAAUUUUUUAUGUCACAUCUCGCAUUUGUUAAAGUCCAUAUAUUUAAUCUAGAGAAGCUAAGACAAAAAAGAUGUAUCACGCUCUCAUGAUUAAAUUUCGUAAACUGUCACAAAGAAAAUCCUGAGCGAAACCAUAUCCAUCGCUUUGGGCACAUUGUGGUUACGAGAAUCAAGCAUAGGCAAAACGGAUGGAGUUAUAUUAAAAAGCAUGUUUCUUUUAGGCUUUGCCAAUUUGAUCUAAACAACAGGUUGGGUGGAUUUUAAAAGAAUGCUAGUAAGAAUUAACAGAUCAAUAACAGAUCGUUUUUUGAAUUCAAUAAACACCAAGAAAACACGUGA